AUUUGGUUUAGGGGGGACAUUUCUAAGUGGGGAUUUCCAUGUUGAGUGUUUGUGAAGCUUUAGAGCACAGUAGCGACUUACCUGUAUGCCUGUCUGAGAGAGAGAACAUCAGGAAUGUUGUCAGUGAACCUGGAAGGGUUUCUUAGAGGGCUAGGCUGUUAUAGGCGACUCUUAAAGCAACAAGGGAUAAAAGUGUCUAAAAUGAGGACCAUAGUUGUGGCAGAGUCUUCAAAUGUUAGGUCUCCUCUUGAGAAUGCAAUUUAUGUUGGUCAUUGACUUCUUUUUUUUUCUUUUUUCUUUUUUUCAGAGCUGGGGACCGAACCCAGGGCCUUCCGCUUGCCAGGCAAGCGCUCUACCACUGAGCUAAAUCCCCAACCCCUGGUCAUUGACUUCUUAUCACAUAGGCAUGUGGGCAGCUGGUUGUAGAAUUCUCACCAUGAUCAUGGCCAUCUCCUUUUAUUGAAAGAAGUGAGCCUUUUGUCCCUAGGGCUCCCUUCUCUCCAUUCUCUUCUCCUUAUAUAAUGAUGGUGACCUUUUGGAGCCUCUGACAGACCAAGAAGACCUCCACAGGUUAUCUCAUUUACAAGGAUACAAGGUGGGCUCCUAGCUUAGGAGUUACUGGCAACUCCUAACUGCUGGGAGACUGAAAGUCCGUCUUCGUUAAGAGUACGAUUUCUGGUGGAUCGACCACACUCCAGUGGGAGGCAACCCAUCCAGACACAUACGGGCAGCACUAGUUGAACUCAGCGAGUUAAAGAGGAGAAAAGGGGAAUAGGAGGCACCAUCUCAGGUUACCCCCGCACCUGCCACAGUAUUAAAUGGAUACUGAACCAUACAUUUUCCUUUCAUCUGUCUAUGCCCUCAGCAAGACAGACAAAGUGUGCAAUUCAGGCUCGAAGGCUCGGAGAUCAGCAGAUGUAUCGGGUUCUGAAUUCGACCUUUUAGCAGUCAGACCCUCGAAUUAAAAACUAAAUAAAC
ensembl:lncRNA LOC102546320 uncharacterized LOC102546320